GGGUGCGAUCAUACCAGCACUAAUGCACCGGAUCCCAUCAGAACUCCGCAGUUAAGCGUGCUUUGGCGAGAGUAGUACUAGGUUGGGUGACCUCCUGUGAAGUCCUCGUGUUGCACCCC
rfam:Corchorus olitorius cultivar O-4 contig14041, whole genome shotgun sequence.